AGGGCCUGGGCCUGAAGCAGGGGAGUGGUACGUCUUCACCCUGUCCGCAGCUCACUGAAGAAGCUGCCCUGGAUGAGGCAAGUGGCUUUAACAUCCCUGCAGAGCAGGCUUCUCGACCCUGGACCCAACCCCACAGGGCAGAGCCUGAGGCCCAGGAUGUGGACCCCAGGCCUGAGGCUGAGGAAGAGGAGCUCCCCUGGUGCUGCAUCUGCAAUGAGGAUGCCACCCUACGCUGCGCUGGCUGCGAUGGGGACCUCUUCUGUGCCCGCUGCUUCCGGUGGGUGCAGGUGGAAUGUUCUGUGCGAGAGCUCAAGGGCUGCCUGGAUCCCUGACUUGUAUCCCUUUGUUCCACAGAGAGGGCCAUGAUGCCUUUGAGCUUAAAGAGCACCAGACAUCUGCCUACUCUCCUCCGCGUGCAGGCCAAGAGCACUGAAGACACCCUGGUCCUCCCGGAAGGGCAGUCCCACAGGCAGCGGCACCCAUUUCUGGGCCCAGCCACAGGACGUCCGAUGGGAGAGCUUGUCUGGCU
rnacentral:sRNA from 1 species